rnacentral:rRNA from 1 species
GGGAACUGGGGGCCGGGGGCGGGGGUAAUACGAAGGGUGCAAGGGUUUCUUGGAAGUACUGGGCGGAAGGGGGGCGUAGGGGGUUCGUUAAGUCUGAUGUGAAAGCCCUGGGCUCAACCUGGGAAUGGCAUUGGAUACUGGCGGGCUAGAGUGCGGUAGAGGGCAGUGGAAUUCCCGGUGUAGCAGUGAAAUGCGUAGAGAUCGGGAGGAACAUCUGUGGCGAAGGCGACUGCCUGGACCAGCACUGACACUGAGGCACGAAAGCGUGGGGAGCAAACAGGAUUAGAUACCCGGGUAGUC